GACGAACGCUGGCGGCGUGCCUAAUACAUGCCAGUUGAGCGCUGAAGGUUGGUACUUGUACCAACUGGAUGAGCAGCGAACGGGUGAGUAACGCGUGGGGAAUCUGCCUUUGAGCGGGGGACAACAUUUGGAAACGAAUGCUAAUACCGCAUAAAAACUUUAAACACAAGUUUUAAGUUUGAAAGAUGCAAUUGCAUCACUCAAAGAUGAUCCCGCGUUGUAUUAGCUAGUUGGUGAGGUAAAGGCUCACCAAGGCGAUGAUACAUAGCCGACCUGAGAGGGUGAUCGGCCACAUUGGGACUGAGACACGGCCCAAACUCCUACGGGAGGCAGCAGUAGGGAAUCUUCGGCGAUGGACGAAAGUCUGACCGAGCAACGCCGCGUGAGUGAAGAAGGUUUUCGGAUCGUAAAACUCUGUUGGUAGAGAAGAACGUUGGUGAGAGUGGAAAGCUCAUCAAGUGACGGUAACUACCCAGAAAGGGACGGCUAACUACGUG
rnacentral:rRNA from 1 species